CGCCAACAGCACCGAUGCCGAGUAGAAGUGGAACAGCGUCUGAUCCUCAAACCACGCCUUCAGCUCCAUCAGCUGCGCCAGCACCCCAUCAGAUCCCCCAUACACCGCCGACACAAGCUCGCAGUCCGCAACCUCCGGAUCCGCGGAAACGAACUGCCGGAGGACACGACGGACAUCAGGCGUGGUGAAUUUUCUGACGGCAUCCCGAUCUGGGCGGUAGAAAUCGUUGAAUUGUCGGAUCUGGAGGCCGGAGACGCGGAAUCCGAGGGUUAGGCUGGUGGAUUCGCGGUCCUUGGCGAGGCAUUUCUGGAUGUAGUCUUCGGGGGAGGAGGGGGGCCAGGUGUGGGCGCCGAUCUUGAGG
rnacentral:misc_RNA from 1 species